rnacentral:rRNA from 1 species
CUGAUGGAGGGGGAUAACUACUGGAAACGGUAGCUAAUACCGCAUAACGUCGCAAGACCAAAGAGGGGGACCUUCGGGCCUCUUGCCAUCGGAUGUGCCCAGAUGGGAUUAGCUAGUAGGUGGGGUAACGGCUCACCUAGGCGACGAUCCCUAGCUGGUCUGAGAGGAUGACCAGCCACACUGGAACUGAGACACGGUCCAGACUCCUACGGGAGGCAGCAGUGGGGAAUAUUGCACAAUGGGCGCAAGCCUGAUGCAGCCAUGCCGCGUGUAUGAAGAAGGCCUUCGGGUUGUAAAGUACUUUCAGCGGGGAGGAAGGGAGUAAAGUUAAUACCUUUACUCAUUGACGUUACCCGCAGAAGAAGCACCGGCUAACUCCGUGCCAGCAGCCGCGGUAAUACGGAGGGUGCAAGCGUUAAUCGGAAUUACUGGGCGUAAAGCGCACGCAGGCGG